AAUGUAUGACGCCGUUGACUUUUUGUCCAACGUUUAACUAUCCGUCUUAUUUAAAAAAUUUAUGUAAUUAAUAUAUUUUAUUAUGACUUGAUUCAUCCUGAAAUGUUUUUUAAGCAUGACAUAAAUAUUUUCAUAUUUGCACAAAAAUUUUGAAUAAAACGAAUGGUCAAACGUUGGUUAAAAAGUCAAUGGCGUCAUACAUU
rnacentral:pre_miRNA from 1 species